AGUGAACGCUGGCGGUAGACCUAACACAUGCAAGUCGAACGGCAGCACAGUAAGAGCUUGCUCUUACGGGUGGCGAGUGGCGGACGGGUGAGGAAUACAUCGGAAUCUACUUUUUCGUGGGGGAUAACGUAGGGAAACUUACGCUAAUACCGCAUACGACCUACGGGUGAAAGCAGGGGAUCUUCGGACCUUGCGUGAUUGAAUGAGCCGAUGUCGGAUUAGCUAGUUGGCGGGGUAAAGGCCCACCAAGGCGACGAUCCGUAGCUGGUCUGAGAGGAUGAUCAGCCACACUGGAACUGAGACACGGUCCAGACUCCUACGGGAGGCAGCAGUGGGGAAUAUUGGACAAUGGGCGCAAGCCUGAUCCAGCCAUACCGCGUGGGUGAAGAAGGCCUUCGGGUUGUAAAGCCCUUUUGUUGGGAAAGAAAAGCAGCAGGUUAAUACCCCGCUGUUCUGACGGUACCCAAAGAAUAAGCACCGGCUAACUUCGUG
rnacentral:rRNA from 1 species